ensembl:lncRNA
GAUAUUAAAAAUAUAUAGUUACCAAGUUACAAAUAGCAAACAUUAGUUUCAAUGUAUAUGAAACCUUAAGAAGAGGAAGAAACAGAAAAAACACCUUUGUGGGCUCAUAAACCAAAAGGAGAUUUAAGAGAGUUUGGAGGGUGCUGGUCAUUGGAUAUGUGGGGUGCUGAUGAAUAGAAGUGUGGGGUGCUGAGUGGAUGUGUGGGGUGCCAGUGAGUGGAUGUGUUGUGUGUCUUUCUAAUCAUUUAGUAUCUUGAUUCAUGAGUUGAGAUAAAAUAAUCAAAGAUUUUCAUUGUAAAUGGGUAUUAAAAACUACUAGCUUGAGAGGUUCAAUAUAUAUAUAUGAAUGUAUAUGUUUUAUUAAUUGUUGCAUAUAUAUGUAUAUACUCCACAUAUGUGUUGUUCAACAAUAAAAAAAAACAAGCCAUGAGUUUGAAAGAGGACAAGGAGGUACAUAUAAGAGAAUUCAGAAAAAGAGAAUGGAAAGAGGAGAUGAUGUAAUUAUACAACCUCAAAAUAAAAGAUAUAAUUUAAAAGCAAGCUAAGUUUGUUAUAUAUAGUUGGUAAGAAAACUUGCAAGGAUAGAUUUUCUCCAGGAAGUAAAUGAAGGUAUUCUGUAGGAAUACAUAAAAUAAAGGUAUAGUUGGGGGUUGAUGUAUUCAGAAAAAAAAAGUGAGGUAUUUAAUAGUUCUUAAAGUGUGAGAUUUCUGUUUACCACCAUGAUAAGGAAAUAAUUUGCUGAAAUGUAGCAACUUUUACUGACUGUAAUACUGAAGCAACGUCACAGAGCUGAUGUCAUUACAGGCUGUCAUGCCAGGGUAAGACCAGAUGAAGACACAACCACAAGCUGAAUAAAAUCCAUAUAACAUGCAAUGCCCAGGGUAGCAGAAAACUCAAACACUUUUAAUGAUAGGAACUUAACUAUUCAAAGAGUUAAUCUAGUGACUAAAACAAGUUAAUCAUUAAGAAUUAUGUAAUGGACUGUGGCAGUGGUAGCAUACACUUUUAAUCCCAGCACUAGGGAGGCAGAGUCAGGCAGUUCUCUGUGAGUUUGAGGCCAACCUGUUCGACAAAGUGAGUUUCAGGACAGCUGGAGCAACACAGAGUAAAUCUGUAUUUUUUUUUAAAAGAACAAAAACCAAGCAAACAAAUCAUGUGGCAUAUGAAAAAAUGAUGGUGAAAGUACUUCUGUGUGUUUAUCUUAUUGAUUGUUUAAUAAAGUUCUCUUUGGCCAAUGAGACAGCAAGUUAGAUAGGACUAGGAGUCAAAGAGGAUUCUGGGAAAUGUAGUAGAGAGGUGGUGAUACAGGCAGGAAGUGACAUAGCAAGGAGACUCAUAUUUAAGCAAAGGAAACAGGAAGUGUCCCCUUUCCCCUCUGCUCUUCCUCCAGCGGAGCAAUGUGAUCCACCGGCAAGGAGGGACGCCAAUAAGGCGUCUGAUAAGAUUCCUAGUACUUUAGUGGCAGAAAUGACCAUGCCAUAAUGGACAGUCCAGCAUGGAUGCCGAGAGGCAGAAUGUGGAUAGUUAAAGAAAUGCAUACACAAGUGUACGGAAAUGACUGUUGACAGGUGUGUGAGGUACCCCAGAUGCACCUGCAUAAUUCAUAAUAUCAUAUCUUGGAUUGGAUCCUAUUCAAUCCAACUGCAUUUUAUAACUUCUUUUGAGUCUUUAAGCUGUUACAAAAAAGAGUUUGCAAGCUCUGUGACAUUGUUAAAUGCUGUUAUUUCUAUCAACGUUAAGACACGUUCUUUAGUGAGUUCCACUGCUUUGGCUUAUUUUCAUCCCCCCCACUCCUUAUUGUUCUGUGUCAGGAACCUCAUCGUUU